AGCAACUUGUGAGUUUUGAGCAUCACCUUCAGCUUGAAAUCUUUGCAGACGGGUUCUAGGAGGAACUUCAGGCUGUGACUAGACUUGCAAUGGAUUCACCAACAAAGCUUAAUGCCCCCUCCACUGGGUCAUUUUCUCAGAUGUCCAAUGAAAGCUAUUCAGCUGACACUCAAGCUGUCUCAGAAGCACUAGCAAAAAACCUUAGCAAGUUGACUCUCAACCAUAGUAUCCAAUUCUCUUCCCUUCCACAAAACCAUUCACCCCAACAGCAGGACAGAGAAGAAGAAAUGUCCGAGUAUGUAGUGGGGGUGAGUUAUGGCCUGGUCUACAGGAGGAGACGUGGAGUGAGGACAAUGGCAAGUCUUAAAAGAGACCUCAAAGGACUGUUUCCAACAUGGCUGAGGAGGAGGAAUGAGGCUAUUCAAAACCGCAAGAAGAAAAGGAAUGAACCUGUAUUUCAAUGUGGCUGUAGUCAUUGCCUAUUACAUCCAGGUCCUUCGUCUGGUGUUGCUGAGAAUUAUGACAUGAAGUCAUUUUAGGCAUACACCGUAUUCUUGUACUCAUUUAAGUUGUAACACAU